rnacentral:rRNA from 1 species
UAAGGAAUAUUGGACAAUGGGCGCAAGCCUGAUCCAGCCAUGCCGCGUGAAGGAUUAAGGUCCUCUGGAUUGUAAACUUCUUUUAUAAGGGACGAAAAAAGGGAAUUCUUUCUCACUUGACGGUACCUUAUGAAUAAGCACCGGCUAACUCCGUGCCAGCAGCCGCGGUAAUACGGAGGGUGCAAGCGUUAUCCGGAUUCACUGGGUUUAAAGGGUGCGUAGGCGGGUAUUUAAGUCAGUGGUGAAAUCCUAGAGCUUAACUCUAGAACUGCCAUUGAUACUAUUUAUCUUGAAUAUUGUGGAGGUAAGCGGAAUAUGUCAUGUAGCGGUGAAAUGCUUAGAUAUGACAUAGAACACCUAUUGCGAAGGCAGCUUACUACGCAUAUAUUGACGCUGAGGCACGAAAGCGUGGGGAUCAAACAG